GACGAACGCUGGCGGCGUGCUUAACACAUGCAAGUCGAACGGAAAGGCCCUGCUUUUGUGGGGUGCUCGAGAGGCGAACGGGUGAGUAACACGUGAGUAACCUGCCCUUGACUUUGGGAUAACUUCAGGAAACUGGGGCUAAUACCGGAUAGGAGCUCCUGCUGCAUGGUGGGGGUUGGAAAGUUUCGGCGGUUGGGGAUGGAAUGGCGGCUUAUCAGCUGGUUGGUGGGGUAGUGGCUUACCAAGGCUUUGACGGGUAGCCGGCCUGGGAGGGGGACCGGCCACAUGGGGACUGCGGUACGGCCCAGAAUGCUACGGGAGGCAGCGGUGGAGAAUAUUGCAGAAUGGGCGGAAGCCUGAGGCAGCAACGCCGCGUGCGGGAUGACGGCCUUCGAGUUGUAAACCGCUUUCUCCUGUGACGAAGCGUGAGUGACGGUAAUGGGUAAGGAAGCACCGGCUAACUACGUG
rnacentral:rRNA from 1 species